ACAGAAAUCUUCAACAAGGGAGAGGAGAGGCACGGAGUUGCUAAAAAUAGCAGCAUCUCUGAUCUUCCUUGAGGGGGUCAGUGGAGCCCAAGACUGGGGAGAAGGGAUGGAGUGGGCUGACAGGAGUGGGGACAGCAGCAACCCGAGCUGAGGCCUUAGGUACAUAUUCCAUAUGCCACUGCCCAGAAUGCACAGAGGGCACUGACACCCAGGGAUAGAUGGACAAGCCAGGCAGGCAUGCACAGACAAAGCUACCUGCAUGUCUAGGCUGCUCCCCCAUCCCCAGAAUCUUUUUUGUUUUUAAGAUUUACUUUAUUUUAUUUUAUAUGAGUACACUGUAGCUGUUUUCAGACACACCAGAAGAGGGCAUCAGAUCCCAUUACAGAUGGUUGUGAGCCACCAUGUGGUUGCUGGGAAUUGAACUUAGGACCUCUGGAAGAGCAGUCAGAGCUCUUAACCGCUGAGCCAUCUCUCCAGCUCCCACCCCCAGAAUCUUAAGGUUGCUGUGCAGGCUCAACCCUCACCCCUCAUACCCACCUCCUAACCUCAUCUUUGCUUUGACCUUCAAGGUCUCUGCUGAGCUGGAUGGAGGAACACCUUGAAUUGAGAGAGCUAAACUCCCCCCCCCCUCCGGAGCUGAGGACCGAACCCAGGGCCUUGCGCUUGUUAGGCAAGCGCUCUACCACUGAGCUAAAUCCCCAACCCCUAAACUUUCUUUCCCUAUCUUUUCACCUUUCUGUUGCUUGAAGCCCAAGACAGGAAAGGCCAAGGGAGGGCCAGAGUCAUUAUGAGAUACAGCAUGGUUAAGACUUCAGACACCAGCCAGCAGUCAGAGGCCACAUGAGUGUCACCCAGACCUGAGUAAUAGGCACAGUGGGGUAGAGAGAUAGAAGACUCUAUAAGAGCAGUAUAGAAAGGGGCUCUGCUAAGAGAUAGGCUCUGAAUGGGCCACAUAGGAGCAAGGAGAAAGCAAUCAGGUAAAUAAGUGUGCCCAUGUGUUUCUUUGUCAUGCCUUACUGGAGACUCCCUUCACAUUUUUGGCUGGAGAUAUCAGGGGUACCUUUGAACCUCAAAAUGUGACUUCAGUUUCUUUAGCCAUCCACAAAAUAGGGUGGGUGCCUUGGUGGGAGAGAAACUGCCAGCUGUUGAACCAGAUGUUUCAAUUCACCAGCACAUCUCCUGUCUGGAUAUAAAUAGUUUGUAUGACUAUGUCUGCAGAGCAGUGUGCCAGGUGAAGACCCUUAAAAGGUCCACAAACCCAGGCUGUCUCUGUGCCACUUAGUCUCAUGCUGCAGACCUUGAGCUGAUGCUUACCCCCGACUUGAGAGCUCAGCCCUGGCCUGGUUUCUUGGGUCAUCGGGUCCGGGCCCUCCAGUGCCUGACUGGUAAAGUGGCCUCCUCUUGGUGCCCUGCAUCUCUCGGGCUAUCUCUCCUCAAGUAGAGCUUCUAGCCCCUUCCAAGUCCCUACCCUGUCUGAUUUCCUUCCCUUUUCUAUGCUGUCUACAAAAGAGGUGGGAUAGAAUCUGGUGCCAUGAAUUCUCACUGGUACAGGGAGGUGACACAAUUCAGCCAAGGGCACACAGACACCAAGAGCCAGCCAGGGUUUAAUCGGGGGUCCUGGCUCUCUGAUGAGCUCUGUGCUGUUGGAAUUUUUCCUGAUAUACACUGUGGUUCCCCACACUGCUUGAUUCCCCUCUCCCUAGGCUCCAGAGACUCCCUAGACACCUGCUGGCUUGUGGGACCCUGGCCAGACACUCAGCAGGUGGCUGCUUAGGGGGACAAAGAGGCUGGUGAUCGGCUGCAGAGCUGGGAGGGAGGAGGGAGCAGGAAGAAGCUGAGAGGGCAGCAGUGUAGAUGAAUCUGGGCUGAGGAUGGUGAGAGCAGGAGGAAAACAGCCCGUACAUAAGAUGUAGAGAAACUCAAUGGUUUGGAGCUUUCCUAAAUUCUGUUCUGCCUGCCUGAUGAGAGGGAGGGAGGGGCCUGAUUGUAAAGAGCCUUUGAGGAGGGGAUGUGGUGGGGGAGGGGCCUCUGAGGGACACGAUGAGGUCAUUACCAGGGUAUGGCAAUUGUGGGUAAGCCUUUAGGGCUACACUUUGCAGGUGGAUACCCUCAACUUGGAUUAUGUGAUGUAUUUGGUUUGGUGACAAGCAGGAGGAACCCUGUACCAUAUUUGCGUGUUGAAAGCUCCAACAAUACCCAGAAAUGGGAAAGUUUCAUUAUGGUCUGGCCUGGGAACCUCAGAGACUUCCUGGGCCUUCACAGAAUGAAACAGUGAUUCCCUGCUACAGGUGAGAGACUGAGGUACAGAAAUCCGUCUGUCCCUGAAGUUCAGGGUAGUUGGAUCCUGUAGGUGUAAUUGGUUGUAUCUGACCCAUUCAAUUACUAUUAGAGGAGAAAAACAAAACAAAAACAAAAUAAAUAAAACCCAAAAAAAAACCAACACCCCAAAACAAACAAACACCACAAACAAACAAACAAACAAACAAACAAUCAAAAAACUAAAAGUCUCCAGUCUACGUAGAAGCAGUUUGAGCUGAUCUUAGUUAUUAAGGAUGUAACUUGUCUCUAAACUAAGUUUCUUGAGGUCGGGGUUUGUGUCAUAGUCUGCUUUUGAGAGGUACUGAAUAGAGGGAUUGUUGAAUAAAGAAUGGAUGUGUGGGUGAGUGAACAGUUGAGUUCUUGAUAGGUCAUAUUUGCUGGGUAAUCAGGAAAGGGGAGGCAGGCGAAUGGAAACAGAAGGACAGACCGACAUUUGGUAGAGGCAGGACCGGUUAUGGCGUGUAUGGGGUCUGGGCUUUAUUUAGCAUCCUUGCUGCAGCUCCUCCCCUCCUCCCAGGCAUACUCAGUCUCUGCUCAUCUCCUGGCAGGGCCCCUUGUUCCUGCUGGGCUCAGCCAGAACCUCCCACCUCACCCCUUCUCUCCCUGCCAGCCUCCCGGCCAGCAAGGCUGCAGGCUGUGCAGCCAGAGUCUGGGAUUGUUGUUGGAGACCUGGCAGGUUUGUUUGCUCCCAAGCCCUCUGAGAAAUCUCAACAAUCAAUGGCCAACAACACUCUGCCCGCAGCUGCAGAUUCGAUCUUCUCUUCGAAGGGCUGGCGGCCCGGGGGGAUUGCAGCAGACGCUACGAACCAUAACCAUAUGGCGAGGGACUUUGAGUCCCAAGUCAAAGUGCAGUUUCGCGGACCCCAGCAGGCGACCAGUAAAAGCGGAGAAUGACUUGAGCAUUUGAAGACUCCCGAGAUCACUUGGUUCAGACCCUUCCUGCUUCCCAUUCCUCUUUCCUCCAAACUCCCUUGCUGCUUACUUCGAGGCCAAGCGUUUCUUGACCGAGACCAAUUAAGUUGGGACUUAACUCGGCGUCCGGGGCUGGGGCAAACGGUGAGUUCCGCUAACUAGUCUGCGGCUCCCGGGUCGAUAGAACCCGGCAUGAAGGCAGAGCUGAAGAAAAGCAGCGCUCCGUGUGUGUGUGUGUGUGUGUGUGUGUGUGUGUGUGUGUGUGUGUGUGUAAGGAAAGAAUUUCAGGGAGGGCAGUCAGUCCCAGGACUUCAGAUACUGCAGCCCAGAGAAGAGCGAGGGGCUGGGCAGUGGGCUCUCAGGGUCCCCGAAUGUAUCCCCAGAAUUGUGCUCUAGGUUCCAAUUCUGACUUGAUAGCGUCAAGGCAGGGAUAGGUGAGAGACGUCCCAGUCCCGGUCCCACCACCGCCCGACCCAGUUCCUCUGCAGUGAGGAUACGAGGGACCCAGAAUAAGCGGCAAAGUCGAGCGAAGUUUGGAGAGCAGCAGGGGAGGCAGAGCGGCGGGCUGCCAGCUGGACCGUCCGGACUCCGCACCCGCGACCUGCCGUCCCCCCCCCCCCCCGCAACGCGCCCGGGCGCCCCUAGACGCCUGGAGUGGAGCGAGGGAGCGCGCGGGUGAGCGCGUGUGUGCGGGGAGGGGGUGGCGUGAUGAAUUGCAGCAGAGAAAUCCCAUUAGAUCCGGGGAGAUGAUUAAAGGCGAGGUCUCGGCCGGGCGCGAAUGGCGGGAGCCGCGGCGGCUUCCCGCCCGUGGAGCUCGCGCCCCGCCCGGCUGGGUCGGCGCCGGGGACAGCGCAGCCGGCGGGACGCGGUGCUUGGGAGGAACAACAGGAUGCACAGAGCAAGGCGCCGGGAUGGUCCUGCUUUCCUACCCCUGGGAGUCCGCGCCCGCCCCCGUCCUGUGGCCGGACGCCCGGGUCCCUUACCGUGAGCCAGGAGCGCCAGCAGCGAGGGCAGGAGCAGCAGGGCUGCUGGGCGCAUGGUGCUGCUUGCGGCCGCGCCCCGGGUUGGGGUCGCGGUAGGGGGACUGGGGACUGGGAGAGGCGUGGGCGCGGGAGGCAGAGCCGGUCCCGGGGAGAGCAGCGGGGCCGCCGCCGCCGCCGCCGCCGCCGCCAGCGCCUGACAGAAUCAGCACCACGGCCAGCGCCUGGCGUCGGCGCCCGGGAUCGCCGCGCGGGGCUGGGGGCGGGGGCGCAGGAGGAGCGGCUUACCGUAAAGUCUCAAGCAAAGGCGCAGAAGACCCAGCGGCAAGAGCACAGGCUUUCGAGCCCCGGGGAAAGGACUGCCCUGCUAAUGUGGCACACACAGCCCCGCCUUCCCGAGCUGCCCACGCCCAGCCAAGCCUACCACCCUCUCCCGGGUUAGUAGUCUACCAAGGUGUUAGGUUCUAGUCGGAUUCUCCAUUAAAGAGAGCAUCCCCUACCCACCUCUCUCUCCACCCCACCUUGGUACCUGACAGCUACAAGGGUAACCUGGAAAGAUGCACAUCAGUGAGGCAGCUGGUGAGGCCCGCCUGCCCUUGUGGCAGCUCCAUCCUGGGCCGAUAAUGAAGACGGCUUCUGAGCGUACAAAGGACAAUAAAUUAUUACUUUGCGCUCAAUAAAUGCCAGGGCUCCAGGCAGCUGCAUCAGCAGCAAACUGUGCUCACAGAAAAGCUUAAUUAUCCUGAUAUUAUAGUUAAAAGCCAGUGGCACUUGUGUCCUGGGGAGACAUUCUUCACUUGGUAGGAGGCAACCUGGGUCAAGCUGUGGGGUGCUGAAGGCAGCACCCUGGGUCCCCAUGUAGCCAUGGGUUUCCAGUCCUUGCUUCCUCUGUAGAACAAGAACAUUCACAGUAACAUAGAUCUUUUAUGCCAGUACCAACUCUGGUCUUGGAACUGAUGGAGAAAAUGAAUAUCAGGGGUCUUUAUGGCUGUUUUAGUUGUAAAACUUUAUUUGAUAUUUCUUUUUCAGUGCUAGGAACCAGGGCCUGGCACACGAUUUCAUACUUGAUAGACAGGGGCUCUACCAUUGAGCUACACCUUCAGCCCACUAGGAUUGUUUCAGAUGGAGGAAAACUUGAAGAAGGGGCAGUAACCAAAAUAGUUGGAAUAGUCAAUAGCACAGAAAAAUAAGAUCCCACAACUCUGUGACCUGAGGAGCUCCCGUAAGCCACGGGCCAACAAUAGGCUAGCCAGGGCUGUGCAGAACGUGAGGCUACUAUUCAGACCCAAGGGACAUGAUUAGGCUUGUUAUGGGAAUUUCAGUGGACUCAAUGGGACAUAACCAUGUGGCUGACGUUAAUAUCUGUUGAGGAAGAAAGGGCAGCUUAAUGUUUAGUUCUUUCCGUGUGAACUUGGGUCAAACCCCCAUAAUUUGUCCAUGGCACUUCCCCCAUCUCAUCCUGGGAACAAGUGACUUCUGCCCUUAGUUUCAUUCCUUGGAGGGCGUUUUGGUCCUUGCAGUCUUCCAGCUUUGCUCCUUUGAUUCUCUGUAGAUCCUUUUGUGGGCUCUGGGGAGCCAUCUUGCUUGUUGUAAAGAAUCCCGGGCAGCAGGUGGCCUGUGGAAUUAUCUGGGGAAGAUGCUGGGAGAGGAUUUUGGACAGUUGUCUGAAGAACCGGAAGAGAAAGGAGAGUAGCAGAAGGAAUGGCAAGUAGGGGAGCCUUUGAAGAGAAGAUCAGAAAUGAGGAGAAGCCAGGAGAGAGGGGCAGAGGGAAGGGAGGACAAGAAUUGCCCACAGAAUUGGAGAACAGGCACAGAGGUGACUGACUGAAGUUUGGGAAUGGGUGAGUGCCAUGAGAGCCUUCCUCACAAACAGGCAUCCCAGUGUCCCUCAGGACUACACAGCUCUGGAAAAAGGCAAUGAGCCACAAGGCAGGAUGAACCUGAUCUAUCGGGAUGGUUCACCCUGACUUAAAGGCUGCUGGACUCCACAGUCUCACUCAACCAUCUUGGCAGUAGGGCUCUGGAUGAGCUGGGCACUACCUAUAAGAAGAAAGGUAAGCAAACUCUCUGGGAACCUGCAACAUGACCUUCCUGACUGCUUGGAUUACAAGAGAGAGUCCAUUGUAGACUGUAAUCCCAGAAUUCCACUCUGCCCUGAACCCAGAGGAUGGGUUUGUACUGCAUGCUUAGAAUAAUAAUACAGCUUGCUGUCACUCUUUACUGAAGAUACGGUAAAUGUGCUUCUGUGGAACAGGUUCCUAGCAUAGCUGAGGCAGAACCUGGACCAAUCUAGGGAGCAGUAGAGUUUUUUGGUAAGCAUCUUUUCUCGUGCCUUUCAAAGGGCCCAUUCUUCCUAGACAUUGGCAUUACCGGUAACGGAGGACAAUAAAAUGUCCAAGGGGACAUCCAUCUAUAUCAAGGCUUACAGUCUGAGAGUUUACUCAGUUCACACACACAACCUGAAAAAGUGACAUGGGCCAGUGAGAUAGCUCAGUUGGUAAAAGGCACUGGCUGUCAAGUCUAAUAACUGGAGUUCUAUUCCGCACGCCCACAUGGGGAGGGGAGAACCAAUUCCUGUAAGUAAUUCUCUGGCUUCUGUACAGAUACACACACACCACACACACACACACACACACAGACACACACACAGACACACACACACACACACACACACACACACAGAGAGAGAGAGAGAGAGAGAGAGAGAGAGAGAGAGAGAGAGAGAGAGAGAGAGGAGAGACCUGUGAUGACCCACAAGGCUCCUUUACUAUGUCUACCUAGCUCUUUGCUCUCAGCAGAUCCUGUCUAAUUUUUCACUGCAUUAUCUGUUUUGUUGACUUGGUAGUUGCGCGGCCUAUGUGCUCUCUACUUAAACCUCGUCCAGUGACUAGUACAUCCUAAAUGUUCAAUGAAUGUUGUACAUAAAUGGGGAUGCCUAAAGCCUGAGGCAGGCCACAGAUGCAGUAUGAAAGCUGUGAAAUAGGGAGAUGGGGGUGACUUUGCUCUAAGUCAGUGAGGGCUUCACACAGCAGAUGGGUGAAACUGUGUUGAAUCUGCCCAUGUUUCAGUGAAUGGAGGAGGGAAGAGGGCAGGGUGGGGGUGUGGUUUAUGUAGCCAGCAUCAUAAUGGAAACUGCCAGGUGGCUGAGGUCAGUAAGGAGACUGGUUCUACAGAGCAGAGCUGCCCCUCCUGCCCCCGUAGGAAAGAUCGAGGAAUGCUGGAGUUACCUGUGACUAGGCUGUAGGUUUUUGAUUUAAGUGGCGGAUAAUGAAGAGAUUACUUCGUUACGAAGGUACACAAAGCAGACUAUAUCAGCCUGGCACCAUUUGGGUGAGUUGUGGGCACUGUGGGAAGAACUGUAUGUACUUCACUACGAGCCCUGGAGGAAGACUACCACAGACUGAGGUUGAAAGCCGGAGACGGGAUUACUAGCCAUCUCUGAGACAACAGUGGAUCUCUAACUCACAUCCCUCAGAAGCUGGCCUCACUUUUCCAAUUCUUUUUUUUUUUUUUCUUUUCUUUUUUUUUCGGAGCCGGGGACCGAACCCAGGGCCUUGCACUUGCUAGGCAAGCGCUCUACCACUGAGCUAAAUCCCCAACCCCCACUUUUCCAAUUCUAAACAACCUGUCAACUCGUGGGAUCACAGGGGCAUCAGUGACUUAUUUUGAAGUCAGCUGGGAUGACCCUUGCUCUCUGAGCAAGAAGAGGUGGGCGGUAAAGAAAACCCCAAACCAAGAAAGCCUAGAUCCACUCUUCUGUAAGACAGCUUUCAGAUCAGAACAUCCAAAGGGGUUUUAGGGUUUGGGGGGAGCAGAGGAAGGGGCUGUCACUUCAUCCCAGAGACGGUAGGGGCACACAGUCUUCUGGUCACAACCACCAUCAUCUUUGAACAAGUCUCCAGACUCAGUGGCUUCUGGUACGGCCAGGGAUGUCAGGCCUGAGGUCCCGGGUUACCCAAAGUCAAUCACCUGAGGCUUCUGGCUCUGAGCAUUGGCGCCUACUCCAGGAAUGGGACCAGAUCUGUGGCAAGAGCCUAGGGUGCCCGGAGACAGCAGCAGAAAUCGGUUUGAUGUGAGCUACUUUCCAUCUCCAAACCCCAGGCCUCCAGCCUGCCCACCACCUCCAGUGGAGGCCUUUGAUCCUCUACAGCUCCAUAAAUGUUUAAUGCCACUGGCUGGGCAGAAAUGAGGCAGGUGCCGGAGCAUGCAGACUGGGGAUAGGACUUGAGAUCCAUCCUGUUGGUGAAAUCAUUUGCAUGCUUGGGAGCCCUGGGAUGGGUGGGAGGAGCCCCUCCCCUGCCAUGUGGAGGAAGAAGUCUCAGGGUUCAAGUUUGUGGCACUAAUAAGUGAAGCUCUUUGAAAACUGCGGUAGGGCUUGAGACUAAAAUGUUGUAGAAGCCCAACUCUUUCCCCGCCCCCCAGCCCCCUACCUUUCCACCCCACCCCUACCCCCCCCACUCGGUUUGAUUGAAGGAGAAAGAUAGAAAGUUAAAUGACAAUCAAAUGCAAAUACAGCUCAGCAAACACCACAGCAAUUACCAGGCUCAGGAAACACACGGCUUUUGCAGGCAGCAGGGGUUGGCAGUUUGGAAGCAGGGGCCUGUGCAGAGGUGGUGGGCAUGGGGCUAUUUUAAUGGACAGUUAAAUAGAUGCAAAAACCUCCCAUCUAGUUUGCAUACAUGCUGAUGAGUGGAACCCAGGGGCCCAGGGAGGUUAUGCUACCUUCACAGCUGCCCGUGGCUUGUUUCAGAUGGGAAGGGGCCCUGAGUGCUUGGGAGGCCAAGGCAAUUUGAGUGCCUGGCCAGUCUCUUUGGUCCUACGCACAAGCUGGUACUGAAGUAUGAGGAUUGAAGUGGAAGGGAGCCCAUGGGGUCCUCCAUGAAAGGGCUCCAGGCACUGGCCUUCCGACAGCCCAGAGGCUCUGGUAAGAGUGGCCUUCUCUUCAAUAUUUGCAUAAUGCUUUGCAUCUCAUUUGAAUGCUAUUAAUUUGGUGUCAGGCUAGGUUGGCACGGGUAAGAAAGAGAACAGCUGGCCUUCUCCCUCCCCUCUGUACCCCAGGGCCUACUCUUCUCAUAGCCCUCCCCAGCCUUGGAGAGAGAGGCCUUCACUCCCCACCUCCCUCCCCACCAUGUUCCCAGACACACAGAAAGUCUUUUAGGCAAACCAGUUCCUAAAAGCCAAGGCCACCUGGAUAUGGUGGCCAGUUGAAGAAGGAACAGAAAUGGUCCCCAAGAGCACCCUUGCCAGAGCCAAAAGCACCAUGGGAGGAUGGUGGGGGCUUUUGUCUCCCCAAGUGAUCAAGGCAGCUUAGCUUGGAAAGGGUCCAAAGAUAAUAACCAGGAGAGGGAGGGAACAAAGACAGGUGAUCAUCCCAGAGAAAUAUGGAAGGCUCUGGAAAUAAAAUCCUCUGAACUCAGUAGUCCUGGUGCUUGAACUGACAUAAGACGCAUCCGCCAGAGGCAUGGGUUUAUGGUGCUGCUCAGGGGUUGGGACUCAGUACCAGGUUGAUGACGAUGUAGUAAGGAAAUGGGUCACCUGGUGGACUGAGCUCCAGGGAAGGUUGGAGAGGCUUCAGGGUCACCAUUUAGAUGCCUUUGGUCAAUAGGCACCAGGGAUUCCAUGGUGAUCUAGAGAUGGUGACAGGAAGUGUCAGGCUUGCCAGUUGGCUAAAACACCCUCUCAAACAUCUGAGUUCUGAGAUAGGGAUGUGGCUCAGUUGGUAGAGUGCCUGCCUAGCAUGCAUGAAUCCCUGGGUUCAAUGUCCAGCACUACACAUGCUGGGCACGAUGCUACAAGCCUCUCAUCCCAGUCAUCCCUCAGAUGGUGGAGGCAGGAGGAUCAGAAUUCAAGGUCACCCUCAACCAUAUAUCCGAUGGGUUAUAUGCAACCCUGUCUCAAAGCAUCCUCCUCGCUACACAUUUGAGCUCUUUCUCUGGGGAAGGGGGCGUAGCUAGCAUACCCCCCUCAGAUACAGAAGUGGUAAGGCCAGCACCACUCGCUUUUGUUGGCACCAGGCAGGAAAGGUUGGUGUUAAAAACACCCCAGCCGGGGUGAUCUUACACCUGACCCCAUGACACUGUCUCUGAUAGGUGCUCAGCCUGAGCCAGGGUGAAGGCAAAAGAGUGUUUGUUCUUAUGCCAGAGGCAGGACUGGUGGGGGGUGGGGAGUGGCUUGAAAAAAAAAUGUGAGAGAGUAAUCAUGUUUCCCCUUCCGAGCAAACCCUGGGAUGAAGCUUUGCAACUGCAGAAGGCAUGGACUUGUAGCUGAUUCACGGUUUGCAGAAAGGCCUGAAGUAUUUCCUUUUUUAAAAAGAUUGCCACAUGCAUUGAAAGCAAAUUUACAAUAGAUCUGUCUAUUCUCCAUUUAAAGGAAGUCAGGCCCUGAGUUCAGUGGAUAUUUUUUUUUCUUCUUCUUUACCUUUAAAAAUAAUAAUAGCACCAUUUAUCAUUUGCUGUUUGAGGGCAUUAAGCCCGGGAUUUGACGACACCUUCACAACAAUCCUAUGAGGCAGGUACAAAGCUGUCAUUGUCUCCAUUGUACAGAUAGGGACAUUGAGGCCCCAGGAGGCUUGGUGAUUCACAGCCACUUAAUGCUAUAGUUGUGCUAUAUUGCAAAGGCAGGGAAGAAAGGCGUAUGUCAGUGGGCCUUUGUGGAGCGUGGCAGGAGGAUCACAGGUUUCUGAGCCUGGACCUCUGCCCAGAGUUCACUUGCAGGGGUCUGGGCCUAGAGGGUCACCCAGGAGCAAGGUCAGGAGGGGAGUUGGUUGGAACAGGUAGGGACGGUUGUUUCUAUAAUUCAUCCCGUGUAGAUAUCCAAUUAAAUGGCCAGCACUUAGCUGGGAUCCGAAUCAGACUUCAAGAGCUCCAUGUCUCCAGAGACAGCCCCCAGAAGCAUGUGGCUGAAUGAGAAGCUGGAGAUGUGGCUGUGUGGCAGAGAACAAAGAGCAAAGCUCAUGUGGCCUCUAGGUUCCCCAUGGGCCUCUCCUCCUGUCUCCGUCUCCAUUCACCCUUCACUAUAGAGCCCAGCCAUUCCUUACUGUCUCAGUCGCUUGUCUACAGAACGAGGAAGCAUUUAUUGAGCACUCUGUGUAUGCCAGGACCACGCUAGCCCUCAAGGAGCUUCCCAGCCUUGGACAGAAGAUAGAGUCCUAUCAACCAUGGCUGUCUCUACAGGGCUCUGGAGGCCCUUGAGACCUAGUGUCUCCCUUGGACCUUAUACUCGGGAACAAUGGUACAUAUCGCUUUCAGUGAGAUCUUCUAUCUAAAGAUCUUCCUGUUGUCUAACCCUACUCCUUCCUGCUGUAGAAGUAGCCCACCCCUACAGCCCUUCAGUGUGGGAAUGGGUUUCUGUUGCUCCUUUUCCUGGACACUUCCUUUGACUGUCAGCACAGCACUGUCCCAGGAAACCCUAAGUGGAGUGUCAGAAGCAUUCGUUCUCCCUCAUGAUCCCUAAGAAGCCAGCUGCAAGCCUGCCUCCCGCCUCUUCAUUUUCUAGGCCGGAAUAUAGGACACAAAUCUCAAAUGGUGCUCAAUUCUGGCUGUGCGUUCCCAUCCCCGACUCCUCUCCUUGAACUACUUGUCCUCUGAUUGUGACAUCACAAUGGUUUCUAUGGCAACCAAUUGUGAGGUCACUGGUCCUUAAAGCCACAGACUCUGUGGGUCCAGACAAUGCCUGGAGAAAAGGAAGGCUAUAAAAUGCAUACCCAAGACUUAGAGAUCCCUCUCCCAUCAGAAACAGCAGGGCUUCCCAACCUACGAGGGGAGGGCUGUUUCUCCACAGUGGUGACUUGCAAGGACAAAACCUGUGUGUGUGAGAGAGACAUUGCUCUCCCAGAGGCUGCAACAACAGGCCCCAGUUCAAGACAUCUCAGUCCUGUGCUUGCCUCAGGCAUGGUUCAGAGUCUCCACUUCUUCACCUAUAAAUGGGAAAUCACCUGAUUUCCAGAUAUUCAUUCAGCAAGAAGACCCAUGGGAGGACAUGACGUGUGUGCAGCUCAAAGAAUGCAGGUACUCCAGUCCCUCGCUGCAGCCACCAGCCUCCCCCUUCCCUCAAGGAAAGCUUUAGGCUGUCGCCACCACAGCAGGAGCCACCACCAGAUCCAUUGCUUAUUUCAAGUCCUCCUAAAGCUUGUUGAGUUCUUAACUUAUUAAAGAUAAGCACAUGGAAA